AGCAGCGGUAACCCUCUCAGGUCUGCAGUUUCAGUCCUGAGGCCAGCGGGACCAGGAACUCACCGGAAGGAACGAACAACUCCAGAUGUGCCACCUUUAAGAGCUGUAACACUCACCGUUAAGGCCUGCAGCUUCACUCCUGAAGUCAGCGAGACCAUGAGCCCACCAGAAAGAAGAAACCCAGGACACAUCUGAAAAUAUGAAGGAACAGACUCCAGACACACUAUCUUUAAGAACUGUAACACUCACUGCGAAGGUCCGCGGCAUCAUUCUUGAAUUCAGCGAGACCAAGAACCCACCAAUUCUGGACACAAUCACAAAAUUAAACCUCCUCAAAUAGAGAUUGACAGUAAAUGUAAUCUGUAUUUCUGU
rnacentral:lncRNA from 1 species